GACCACAAGUUUUCACUCGACCU
rnacentral:siRNA from 1 species